rnacentral:misc_RNA from 1 species
GAUGAAGAACGUAGCGAAAUGCGAUAAGUAGUGUGAAUUGCAGAAUUCAGUGAAUCAUCGAAUCUUUGAACGCACAUUGCGCCCCUUGGUAUUCCAUGGGGCAUGCCUGUUCGAGCGUCAUUUGUACCUUCAAGCCUUGCUUGGUGUUGGGUGUUUGUCUCGCCUCUGCGCGCAGACUCGCCUCAAAACAAUUGGCAGCCGGCGUAUUGAUUUCGGAGCGCAGUACAUCUCGCGCUUUGCACUCAGAACGACGACGUCCAAAAGUACAUUUUUACACUCUUGACCUCGGAUCAGGUAGGGAUACCCGCUGAACUUAAGCAUAUCAAUAAGCGGAGGU